GAAGGCCGGGUGACGGGAGGGAGCACGGUGGCUCUGUGUCUCUCUGCGUCUUCGUCAUGCAUCCAUUCGCCUGUCCGAGGUCAAGUCUGGAUUAGACGCUCUCCUCCUGCCUCAUCACUUCCACUGCUCCUGGUUCCCAUUAAGUGGGAUUUGGAGAAAAUUGGCCUUGGUAAAUACCUGUUUUCUGCCGGGGAGAGUGCUGAUAGAAGCAAACGGAAGGACCACAGCCCACUGUCUAAUACAGGAGGACAUAAGUGUAUGCUUGUGUCUUCCCCAAAUUGGUGACAGGGGCAGUUCUGGGAAAAGAACUUGUCUGACGGGGCUACGGAAACCCUUCCGCAGAGCUCGGAGGAGAGUUUAUGGAUGCUCUCACGUGCCAAGAACUGUGCCUACCCAGAGGAGAGUUCCAGUGAAUUUUAAUUCAGUUUGCCACUCUCAGAGCUACAGAACAGAUUUUCGGAUCCCACGUUCGUAGGACUCUCGGAGGUCAUGCUCACGUUCUGAGGCACUCCAAAUUCAACCUCUGCAUUUUGAGGGGACAUGAUCCGGCCCCUAACAAAUGUCAUAAUCGAGAGUAUCGGGUAGGGUCGGGCAACGUUUGGUACCAUCACUGCUCUCUAUACAGACAGGACCUACGCCCCAGAACUGGGGUGCAGAGAGCAUGACCUCAUACUGGGGGAACCAACCACAAGACUGGGCCACGGUGGUGGAGGUGUGUUGCUGCAUUUGUUCAAAGCCUGGACUGCUUGGAUGACUGCGUUCAGGGCUCACGGGGCCCCCAUCCUGCCCUCCUUUACUCGGUGCUAGAGCGUGGUUCCUUGUUGGCUGACCCCAAGGAGUCCGGUGCUCUGUCUUUACUGGUCGUCUCUGAACAACGGUGAGCCGUGGGGUUUCACCGUAAAACGCGUCAUU
rnacentral:lncRNA from 1 species